UUUUUUUUUUUUUUUUUUAGAUGGAGUCUCACUCUUGUCACCUAGGCUGGAGUGCAAUGGUGUGAUCUCAGCUCCCUGUCACCUCUGCCUCCUGGUUCAAGCGAUUCUCCUGCCUCAGCCUCCUGAGUAGCUGGGAUUACAGGCGCGUGUCACCACACCCGGCUAAUUUUUGUAUUUUUAGUAGAGACAGGGUUUCACCAUGUGGCCAGGCUUGUCUCGAACUUCUGACCUCAGGUGAUCCACCUGCCUUGGCCUCCCAAAGUGCUGGAAUCACAGGCGUGAGCCACCGCGCCCGGCCCCCCUGGUUCUUUUCUAGGGCCCCUUCCCCUCCUUCCCUCUCCUCCCCCUCCAUCUGCUCUCCCUGGCCAGUUACAGCCAUUCCUGCUGUCUCAGUCACCAUUUAGAUGCUGCUGACCGUAUACUGAGUUGGAUAGGGGUGCCACCCAAAUUCGGUGUCCAGCAGGAACCUCAGGACGUGAGCUUAUUUGGAAACAGGGUCUUUGCUGAUGUGAUUGGUUAAAUUAAGAUGAGGUCACAGUGCAGGAGGGUAUGCCCUAAACCUAAUGACUGGUGUCCUUAUAAGAGGGCCAUGUGAACUAUAAGAGGAAAGGUGACCAUGUGCCGAAACAAAGGCAGAGAUUGGAGGCGUCGCCAAGGAUUGCUGAAAACCACCAGGAGCUGGAAGAGACAAGGAAGGAUUCUUCCCUCGAGCCCUUGGGAAAAGCAGGACUCUGCUGACACAUAGAUUUUGGACUUCCAGCCUCCAGAGCUAAGAGAAAGCACGUUUCUGUUGCUUUAAGCCACCCCAACUCUGGCCAUUUGUUUGGCAGCCCCAGGAAGCUAACACAGCCCUCACUAUAUCUCGCCGCCAUCUCCUGAGCUUCCCACCUGACAGCCAGACAAUUCCUCACACUCGGCCCUUCCAAAACCCACUCUCCCUGAGAUCUGUUCCCUCUCCAGAAUUCCUCAUGCCAAGGAUUGCACCACCGGCUGCCCAAACCAGAACCCGGUCAUUGCCUGGAUCCUCCCUGCCCUCCACCCCUGAAACCCAGUGACUGACUCAUCAAGCCCUGCACAUUCCACCUCCAGAGUCUUUCUUAGAGACUAAAGAGACAACCAAAUGUGACCCUGGGAUCUUGAUGGGACCCCGGCUCUCAAAACAAAAACCCAACCAUGAAAGGCCAUCCUGGAACACUCGGGACAAUCUGGACACAAACUGGGCAGCAGACGUCACUCCUCUUGGGUUUCCGUGGUGUGAUACUGGUUCUGCGAUUCAGGAGAAAACUGCCCUCAUUCUCAGGAGAUGCAGCUGAGGGUCUCCGGGUGAAGCUCAUGUCCACGUCUGAAACUGACUUCCAAAUGGUACAGAAAAAGAAAAUCCACCCGCUUUGCUAUGUCUUGAGACAGCAAAGCUGGAGAUAUUAGAUUGUUGACUCUAGGUAGAGACAGAUGUGUUUGUGGUACUAGUCUUUCAACUUUUCAGGAAGGUAAGAAUUUCUCUGGUAAAAAGUUGGGGGGAGGCCAGGCACGGUGGCUCACACCUGUAAUCCCAG
ensembl:lncRNA